rnacentral:rRNA from 1 species
UACGAAGGGGGCUAGCGUUGUUCGGAAUCACUGGGCGUAAAGGGCGUGUAGGCGGUCAGGUAAGUGGGACGUGAAAUGCCUCGGCUCACCCGAGGAGCGGCGUCCCAUACUGCUUGGCUUGAGUACGGGAGAGGAUGUGGGAAUUCCUGGUGUAGCGGUGAAAUGCGUAGAUAUCAGGAGGAACACCGGUGGCGAAGGCGCACAUCUGGCCCGAUACUGACGCUGAGGAGCGAAAGCGUGGGUAGCAAACAGG